rnacentral:rRNA from 1 species
CCUACGGGGGACUGCAGUAGGGAAUAUUGCUCAAUGGGGGAAACCCUGAAGCAGCAACGCCGCGUGGAGGAUGAAGGUUUUAGGAUUGUAAAUUCCUUUGGUUAGAGAAGAUUAUGACGGUAUCUAACGAAUAAGCACCGGCUAACUCCGUGCCAGCAGCCGCGGUAAUCUGGAGGGUGCAAGCGUUAAUCGGAAACACUUGGGGUAAAGAGUGCGUAGGCGGGGUAAUAAGUCAGAUGUGAACUCCUGUAGUUUAACUACAGAACUGCAUUUGAAACUGUUACUCUGGAGUGUGGGAGAGGUAGGUUGAAUUCUUGGUGUAGGGGUAAAAUCCGUAGAGAUCAAGAGGAAUACUCAUUGCGAAGGCGACCUGCUGGAACAUUACUGACGCUGAUGCACGAAAGCGUGGGGAGCAAACAGGAUUAGAUACCCGAGUAGUC